ACAUUCUGCAACAUAAUCAUGAUUUAAAAAUGAAUUUAUUAUCCAAUCAGGAACUUUCAAAUAAAGUAAUCUCUGAAUCUUGCAAUGCAACAUGAGCAAACCAAUAACGGAAUCAUUCCAACCAUGCAGUCACGGCUGGGAUGAUUCAGUUAGCAGAGUGUUGCAAGUCAUACAGUCCCAACACACUUGCAUGACUAACAACGCCCCUACCAAUUGGUUGUUACUUGGCAUCCCCUCUAAUGACUCAAUUGCCCUCUGGGAGUCAAUGUCACCCACUUUGAGAAACACUGGUCUAACUUACCAAUCCCAUUGUGAUUAUGCAAUUUGAUAAAUGAUGUUUUGGAAAUUUUUGGAAAAAAAAUCGAAUUUUUCUUAAAAUAAAAAAAAAAAAUAUUGUACAAUGGUCAGUCA
rnacentral:lncRNA from 1 species